AUUGAACGCUGGCGGCAGGCCUAACACAUGCAAGUCGAGCGGGGUUUUCGGACCUAGCGGCGGACGGGUGAGUAAUGCGUAGGAAGCUACCCGAUAGAGGGGGAUACCAGUUGGAAACGGCUGUUAAUACCGCAUAAUGUCUACGGACCAAAGUGUGGGACCUUCGGGCCACAUGCUAUCGGAUGCGCCUACGUGGGAUUAGCUAGUUGGUGGGGUAAUGGCUCACCAAGGCGACGAUCCCUAGCUGGUUUGAGAGGAUGAUCAGCCACACUGGAACUGAGACACGGUCCAGACUCCUACGGGAGGCAGCAGUGGGGAAUAUUGGACAAUGGGCGCAAGCCUGAUCCAGCCAUGCCGCGUGUGUGAAGAAGGCCUUCGGGUUGUAAAGCACUUUCAGUAGGGAAGAAGGGUGUUGUGUUAAUAGCACAGCGUUUUGACGUUACCUACAGAAGAAGCACCGGCUAACUCUGUGCCAGCAGCCGCAGUAAUAC
rnacentral:rRNA from 1 species